rnacentral:rRNA from 1 species
GCACAAGCGGUGGAUGAUGUGGUUUAAUUCGAUGCAACGCGAAAAACCUUACCCACCUUUGACAUGUACGGAAUCCUUUAGAGAUAGAGGAGUGCUCGAAAGAGAACCGUAACACAGGUGCUGCAUGGCUGUCGUCAGCUCGUAUCGUGAGAUGUUGGGUUAAGUCCCGCAACGAGCGCAACCCUUGUCAUUAGUUGCUACAUUUAGUUGGGCACUCUAAUGAGACUGCCGGUGACAAACCGGAGGAAGGUGGGGAUGACGUCAAGUCCUCAUGGCCCUUAUAGGUGGGGCUACACACGUCAUACAAUGGCUGGUACAGAGGGUUGCCAACCCGCGAGGGGGAGCUAAUCCCAUAAAAUCAGUCGUAGUCCGGAUCGCAGUCUGCAACUCGACUGCGUGAAGUCGGAAUCGCUAGUAAUCGUGGAUCAGAAUGUCACGGUGGAUACGUUCCCGGGCCUUGUACACACCG